rnacentral:lncRNA from 1 species
UGGAAGGCUCUAGGGGAAUAAAGAUGGAAAGACUUCUAAUUUUUAGGUCCGUAUGAUUUGAAAUACUUGCACACAAACCGCACGAAAGCGUUCCUGGAAAUCUCAGCCUAAAAAGGAUGUUUAGUAAUUCUAAAAGGGACUACAAGAUGAAAAAUAAUAGUUUGGGCAGUUAAAAUUUGAGAUUCGACGAUGCCGUAGAUCCGUUUGGUCAUCAGGUGUUAUGAGCCACACCCAUGUCUAGCUAGAAUAGUGUGUUAGGCUCAGGCUAGAGAAGAAACGGGGAACAAACUGAUGAAAGAAUGAUCAUACCGAGGGAAUUCACUCAGAACUAACAAGAAUGAUAACGUGCUCCGACUGGAGCAGUUUAGAAACUGCUGGAAGGCUCUAAUGGAAUAAAGAUGGAAUGCCUUCAAAUUUCUAGGUCCGUAUGAUUUGAAAUACUUGCACACAAACCGCUCGAAAGCGUUCCUGGAAAUCUCAGCCCAAAAAAGGACGUUUAGUAAUUCUAAAAGGGACUACAGGAUGAAAAACAAUAGUUUUGGCAGUUAAAGUUUGAGAUUCGAUGGUGCCGUAGAUCCGUUUGGUCAUCAGGUGUAACGAGCCACACACAUGUCUAGCUAGAGUAGUGUGCUAGGCUCAGACUAGAGAAGAAACGGGGAACAAAGUGAUGAAAGAAUGAUCAUACCGAGGGAAUUCACUCAGAACUUACAAGAAUGAUAACGUGCUCCGACUGGAGCGCUUUAGUAACUGCUGGAAGGCUCUAGGCGAAUAAAGAUGGAAUGACUUCUAAUUUUUAGGUCCGUAUGAUUUGAAAUACUUGCACACAAACCACGCAAAACCGUUCCUAGAAAUCUCGGUCGAAAAAAGGACGUUUAGUAAUUCUAAAAGGGACUACAGGAUGAAAAACAAUAGUUUUGGCAGUUAAAGUUUGAGAUUCGAUGGUGCCGUAGAUCCGUUUGGUCAUCAGGUGUUACGAGCCACACCCAUGUCUAGCUAGAGUAGUGUGCUAGGUUCAGACUAGAGAAGAAACGGGGAACAAAGUGAUUAAAGAAUGAUCAUACCGAGGGAAUUCACUCAGAACUAACAAGAAUGAUAACGUGCUCCGACUGGAGCGGUUUAGGAACUGCUGGAAGGCUCUAGGGGAAUAAAGAUGGAAUGACUUCUAAUUUUUACGUCCGUAUGAUUUGAAAUACAUGCACACAAACCACGCAAAAGCGUUCCUGGAAAUCUCAGCCUAAAAAAGGACGUUUAGUAAUUCUAAAAGGGACUACAGGAUGAAAAAUAAUAGUUUGGGCAGUUAAAAUUUGAGAUUCGACGCUGCCGUAGAUCCGUUUGGUCAUCAGGUCUUACGAGCCACACCCAUGUCUAGCUAGAAUAGUGUGUUAGGCUCAGGCUAGAGAAGAAACGGGGAACAAACUGAUGAAAGAAUGAUCAUACCGAGGGAAUUCACUCAGAACUAACAAGAAUGAUAACGUGCUCCGACUGGAGCAGUUUAGAAACUCCUGGAAGGCUCUAGGGGAAUAAAGAUGGAAUGACUUCAAAGUUUUAGGUCCGUAUGAUUUGAAAUACUUGCACACAAACCGCGUGAAAGCGUUCCUGGAAAUCUCAACCCAAAAAAGGGCGUUUAGUAAUUCUAAAAGGGACUACAGGAUGUAAAACAAUAGUUUUGGCAGUUAAAGUUUGAGAUUCGAUGGUGCCGUAGAUCCGUUUGGUCAUCAGGUGUAACGAGCCACACCCAUGUCUAGCUAGAGUAGUGUGCUAGGCUCAGACUAGAGAAGAAACGGGGAACAAAGUGAUGAAAGAAUGAUCAUACCGAGGGAAUUCACUCAUAACUAACAAGAAUGAUAACGUGCUCUGACUUGAGCGGUUUAGGAACUGCUGGAAGGCUAUAGGGGAAUAAAGAUGGAAUGACUUCAAAUUUUUAGGUCCGUAUGAUCUGAAAUACUUGCACACAAACCGCGAGAAAGCGUUCCUGGAAAUCUCAACCCAAAAAAGGACGUUUAGUAAUUCUAAAAGGGACUACAGGAUGAAAAACAAUAGUUCUGGCAGUUAUUGUUUGAGAUUCGAUAAUCUCGUAGAUCCGUUUGGUCAUCAGGUGUAACGAGCCACACCCAUGUCUAGCUAGAGUAGUGUGCUAGGCUCAGACUAGAGAAGAAACGGGGAACAAACUGAUGAAAGAAUGAUCAUACCGAGGGAAUUCACUUAGAACUAACAAGAAUGAUAACGUGCUCCGACUGGAGCGGUUUAGGAACUGCUGGAAGGCUCUAGGGGAAUAAAGAAGGAACGACUUCUAAUUUUUAGGUCCGUAUGAUUUGAAAUAUGUGCACACAAACCACGAGAAAGCGUUCCUAGAAAUCUCGGCCCAAAAGAGGACGUUUAGUAUUCUAAAAGGGACUACAGAAUGAAAAACAAUAGUUUUGGCAGUUAAAGUUUGAGAUUUGACGGUGCCGUAGAUCUGUUUGGUCAUCAGGGGUUACGAGCCACACCCAUGUCUAGCUAGAAUAGUGUGUUAGGCUCAGGCUAGAAAAGAAACGGGGAACAAAGUGAUGAAAGAAUGAUCAUACCGAGGGAAUUCACUCAGAACUAACAAGAAUGAUAACAUGCUCCGACUGGAGCGGUUUAGGAACUGCUGGAAGGCUCUAGGGGAAUAAAGAUGGAAUGACUUCUAAUUUUUAGGUCCGUAUGAUUUGAAAUACUUGCACACAAACCGCGCGAAAGCGUUCCUGGAAAUCUCAGCCCAAAAAAGGACGUUUAGUAAUUCUAAAAGGGACUACAGGAUGAAAAACAAUAGUUUUGGCAGUUAAAGUAUGAGAUUCAACGGUGCCGUAGAUCCGUUUGGUCAUUAGGUGUUACGAGCCACACCCAUGUCUAGCUAGAAUAGUGUGCUAGGCUCAGGCUAGAGAAGAAACGGGGAACAAACUGAUGAAAGAAUGAUCAAACCGAGGGAAUUCACUCAGAACUAACAAUAAUGAUAACGUGCUCCGACUGGAGCGGUUUAGGAACUGCUGGAAGUCUCUAGGGGAAUAAAGAUGGAAUGACUUCUAAUUUUUACGUUCGUAUGAUUUGAAAAACUUGCCCAUAAACCGCGCGAAAGUGUUCCUGGAAAUCUCAGCCCAAAAAAGGACGUUUAGUAAUUUUAAAAGGGACUACACGAUGAAAAACAAUAGUUUUGGCAGGUAAAGUUUGAGAUUCGACAGUGCCGUAGAUCCGUUUGGUCAUCAGGUGUUACGAGCCACACCCAUGUCUAGCUAGAAUAGUAUGUUACGCUCAGGUUAGAGAAGAAACGGGGAACAAACUGAUGAAAGAUGAUCAUACCAAGGGAAUUCACUCAGAACUAACAAGAAUGAUAACGUGCUCCGACUGGAGCGGUUUAGGAACUGCUGGAAGGCUCUAGGGGAAUAAAGAUGGAAUGACUUCUAAUUUUUACGUCUGUAUGAUUUGAAAUACUUGCACACAAACAACGCAAAAGCAUUCCUGGAAAUCUCAUCCUAAAAAAGGACGUUUAGUAAUUCUAAAAGGGACUACAGGAUGAAAAAUAAUAGUUUGGGAAGUUAAAAUUUGAGAUUCGAUAGUGCCGUAGAUCCGUUUGGUCAUCAGGUGUUAGGAGCCACACCCAUGUCUAGCUAGAAUAGUGUGUUAGGCUCAGGCUAGAGAAGAAACAGGGAACAAACUGAUGAAAGAAUGAUCAUACCGAGGGAAUUCACUCAGAACUAGCAAGAAUGAUAACGUGCUCCGACUGGAGCAGUUUUGAAACUGCUGGAAGGCUCUAGGGGAAUAAUGAUGGAAUGACUUCUAAGUUUUUGGUCCGUAUGAUUUGAAAUACGUGCACACAAACCCAGAGAAAGUGUUCUUGGAAAUCUCGGCCGAAAAAAGGAUGUUUAAUAAUUCUAAAAGGGACUACAGGAUGAAAAACAAUAGUUUUGGCAGUUAAAGUUUGUGAUUCGAUGGUGCUGUAGAUCUGUUUGGUCAUCAGGUGUUAUGAGCCACACCCAUGUCUAGCUAGAACAGUGUGUUAGGCUCAGGCUAGAGCAGAAACGGGGAACAAACUUAUGAAAGAAUGAUCAUACCGAGGGAAUUCACUCAGAACUAACAAGAAUGAUAACGUGCUCCGACUGGAGAGGUUUAGGAACUGCUGGAAGGCUCUAGGGGAAUAAAGAUGGAAUGACUUCAAAUUUUUAGGUCUGUAUGAUCUGAAAUACUUGCACACAAACCGCGAGAAAGCGUUCCUGGAAAUCUCAGCCCAAAAAAGGACGUUUAGUGAUUCUAAAAGGGACUACGGGAUAAAAAACAAUAGUUUUGGCAGUUAAAGUUUGAGAUUCGAUAAUGCCGUAGAUCCGUUUGGUCAUCAGGUGUAACGAGCCACACCCAUGUCUAGCUAGAGUAGUGUGCUAGGCUCAUACUAGAGAAGAAAUGGGGAACAAACUGAUGAAAGAAUGAUCAUACCGAGGGAGUUCACUCAAAACUAACAUGAAUGAUAACGUGCUCCGACUGGAGCGGUUUAGGAACUGCUGGAAGGCUCUAGGGGAAUAAAGAUGGAAUGACUUCUAAUUUUUAGGUCCGUAUGAUUUGAAAUACAUGCACACAAACCCCAAGAAAGCGUUCCUGGAAAUCUCGCCCCGAAAAACGACGUUUAGUAAUUCUAAAAGGGACUAUAGGAUGAAAAACAAUAGUUUUGGCAGUUAAAGUUUGAGAUUUGACGGUGCCGUAGAUCUGUUUGGUCAUCAGGUGUUACGAGCCACACCCAUUUCUAGCUAGAAUAGUGUGUUAGGCUCAGGCUAGAAAAGAAACGGGGAACAAAGUGAUGAAAGAAUGAUCAUACCGAGGGAAUUCACUCAGAACUAACAAGAAUGAUAACAUGGUCCGACUGGAGCGGUUUAGGAACUGCUGGAAGGCUCUAGGGGAAUAAAGAUGGAAUGACUUCUAACUUUUAGGUCCGUAUGAUUUGAAUUACUUGCACACAAACCGCGCGAAAGCGUUCCUGGAAAUCUCAGCCCAAAAAAGGACGUUUAGUAAUUCUAAAAGGGACUACAGGAUGAAAAACAAUAGUUUUGGCAGUUAAAGUUUGAGAUUCGACGGUGCCGUAGAUCCGUUUGGUCAGCAGGUGUUACGAGCCACACCCAUGUCUAGCUAGAGUAGUGUGCUAGGUUCAGACUAGAGAAGAAAUGUUGGGGAACGUAGCAGAAAUUCAAAAUUUUCCUACGUGUCACCAAGAUCUAUCUAUGGAGAGACUAGCAACGAGGGAAGGAGAGUGCAUCUACAUACCCUUGUAGAUCGCUAAGCGGAAGCGUUCAAGUGAACGGGGUUGAUGGAGUCGUACUCGUCGUGAUUCAGCUCACCGAUGAUCCUAGUGCCGAACGGACGGCACCUCCGCGUUCAACACACGUACAGCUCGACGAUGUCUCCCACGCCUUGAUCCAGCAAGGAGAGAGGGAGAGGUUGAGGAAGACUCCAUCCAGCAGAAGCACAACGGCGUGGUGGUGAUGGAGGAGCAUGGCAAUCCUGCAGGGCUUCGCCAAGCACCUAUGGGAGAGGAGGAGGUGUCACGGGAGGGAGGGAGGCGCCAAGGGCUCAGGUAUAGAUGCCCUCCCUCCCCUCCACUAUAUAUAGGGGCAAGGGAGAGGGGGGAGGCGCAGCCUUGCCCCUUCCUCCAAGGAAGGGGUGCGGCUAAGAGGGGGGGAGGAGUCCAUCCUCCCCAAGGCACCUCGGAGGUGCCUUCCCCCUUUAGGACUCUCCCCUUUUUCCUAUAUCUUGGCGCAUGGGCCUCUAGGGGCUGGUUCCCUUGGCCCAUGUAGGCCCAGGCGCACCCCCUACAGCCCAUGUGGCCCCCCGGGGCAGGUGGCCCCACCUGGUGGGCCCCCGGGACCCUUCCGGUGGUCCCGGUACAAUACCGAUGACCCCGAAACUUGUCCCGAUGGCCGAAACAGGACUUCCUAUAUAUAAAUCUUUACCUCCGGACAAUUCCGGAACUCCUCGUGACGUCCGGGAUCUCAUCCGGGACUCCGAACAACAUUCGGUAACCACAUACAAACUUCCUUUAUAACCCUAGCGUCAUCGAACCUUAAGUGUGUAGACCCUACGGGUUCGGGAGACAUGUAGUCAUGACCGAGAUGUUCUCCGGUCAAUAACCAACAGCGGGAUCUGGAUACCCAUGUUGGCUCCCACAUGUUCCACGAUGAUCUCAUCGGAUGAACCACGAUGUCAAGGACUCAAUCAAUCCCGUAUACAAUUCCCUUUGUCUAGCGGUAUGGUACUUGCCCGAGAUUCGAUCGUCGGUAUACCGAUACCUUGUUCAAUCUCGUUACCGGCAAGUCUCUUUACUCAUUUCGUAACACAUCAUCCCGUGAUCAACCCCUUGGUCACAUUGUGCACAUUAUGAUGAUGUCCUACCGAGUGGGCCCAGAGAUACCUCUCCGUUUACACGGAGUGACAAAAUCCCAAUCUCGAUUCGUGCCAACCCAACAGACACUUUCAGAGAUACCCGUAGUGUACCUUUACAGCCACCCAGUUACGUUGUGACGUUUGGCACACCCAAAGCACUCCUACAGUAUCCGGGAGUUGCACAAUCUCAUGGUCUAAGGAAAUGAUACUUGACAUUAGAAAAGCUUUAGCAUACGAACUACAUGAUCUUGUGCUAGGCUUAGGAUUGGGUCUUGUCCAUCACAUCAUUCUCCUAAUGAUGUGAUCCCGUUAUCAACGACAUCCAAUGUCCAUGGUCAGGAAACCGUAACCAUCUAUUGAUUAACGAGCUAGUCAACUAGAGGCUUACUAGGGACAUGGUGUUGUCUAUGUAUCCACACAUGUAUCUAAGUUUCCUAUCAAUACAAUUCUAGCAUGGAUAAUAAACGAUUAUCAUGAACAAGGAAAUAUAAUAAUAAUCAAUUUAUUAUUGCCUCUAGGGCAUAUUUCCAACAGUCUCCCACUUGCACUAGAGUCAAUAAUCUAGUUCACAUCGAUAUGUGAUUAACACUCAAGGUCACAUUCCCAUGUGACUAACACCCAAGAGUUUACUAGAGUCAAUAAUCUAGUUCACAUUUACCAUGUGAUUAACACUUGAUGAGUUCUGGGUUUGAUCAUGUUAUGCUUGUGAGAGAGGUUAUAGUCAACGGGUCUGAACCUUUCAGAUCCGUGUGUGCUUUACAAAUCUCUAUGUCAUCUCCUAGAUGCAGCUACCACGUUCUAUUUGGAGCUAUUCCAAAUAACUGUUCUACUUGGAGCUAUUCUAAAUUGUUGCUCCAUUAUACGUAUCCGGUAUCUCUACUCAGAGCUAUCCGGAUAGGUGUUAAGCUUGCAUCGACGUAACCCUUUACGACGAACUCUUUUACCACCUCCAUAAUUGAGAAAAUUCCUUAGUCCACUAGUUACUAAGGAUAACUUUGACCGCUGUCCUGUGAUCCAUUCUUGGAUCACUCUUGUACCCCUUGACUGACUCAUGGUAAAGCACACUUCAGGUGCGGUACACAGCAUAGCAUACUGUAGAGCCUAUGUCUUAAGCAUAGGGGACGACCUUCGUUCCUUUCUCUCUAUUCUGCCAUGGUCGAGCUUUAAGUCUUAACUUCAUACCUUACAACUCAGGCAAGAACUCCUUCUUUGACUGAUCCAUCUUGAACACCUUCAAGAUCACGUCAAGGCAUGUGCUCACGUCAAGAUCACGUCGGUAUACCGAUACCUUGUUCAAUCUCGUUACCGGCAAGUCUCUUUACUCGUUCCGUAACACAUCAUCCCGUGAUCAACCCCUUGGUCACAUUGUGCACAUUAUGAUGAUGUCCUACCGAGUGGGCCCAGAGAUACCUCUCCGUUUACACGGAGUGACAAAAUCCCAAUCUCGAUUCGUGCCAACCCAACAGACACUUUCAGAGAUACCCGUAGUGUACCUUUAUAGCCACCCAGUUACGUUGUGACGUUUGGCACACCCAAAGCACUCCUACGGUAUCCGGGAGUUGCACAAUCUCAUGGUCUAAGGAAAUGAUACUUGACAUUAGAAAAGCUUUAGCAUACGAACUACAUGAUCUUGUGCUAGGCUUAGGAUUGGGUCUUGUCCAUCACAUCAUUCUCCUAAUGAUGUGAUCCCGUUAUCAACGACAUCCAAUGUCCAUGGUCAGGAAACCGUAACCAUCUAUUGAUUAACGAGCCAGUCAACUAGAGGCUUACUAGGGACAUGGUGUUGUCUAUGUAUCCACACAUGUAUCUGAGUUUCCUAUCAAUACAAUUCUAGCAUGGAUAAUAAACGAUUAUCAUGAACAAGGAAAUAUAAUAAUAAUCAAUUUAUUAUUGCCUCUAGGGCAUAUUUCCAACAGUCUCCCACUUGCACUAGAGUCAAUAAUCUAGUUCACAUCACCAUGUGAUUAACACUGACAGGUCACAUCACCAUGUGACCAACAUCCAAAGAGUCUUGGGUUUGAUCAUGUUGCUUGUGAGAGAGGUUAUAGUCAACGGGUCUGAACCUUUCAGAUCCGUGUGUGCUUUACAAAUCUCUAUGUCAUCUCCUAGAUGCAGCUACCACGUUCUAUUUGGAGCUAUUCCAAAUAACUGUUCUACUUGGAGCUAUUCUAAAUUGUUGCUCCAUUAUACGUAUCCGGUAUCUCUACUCAGAGCUAUCCGGAUAGGUGUUAAGCUUGCAUCGACGUAACCCUUUACGACGAACUCUUUUACCACCUCCAUAAUUGAGAAAAUUCCUUAGUCCACUAGUUACUAAGGAUAACUUUGACCGCUGUCCUGCGAUCCAUUCUUGGAUCACCCUUGUACCCCUUGACUGACUCAUGGUAAAGCACACUUCAGGUGCGGUACACAGCAUAGCAUACUGUAGAGCCUAUGUCUUAAGCAUAGGGGAUGACCUUCGUUCCUUUCUCUCUAUUCUGCCAUGGUCGAGCUUUAAGUCUUAACUUCAUACCUUACAACUCAGGCAAGAACUCCUUCUUUGACUGGUCCAUCUUGAACACCUUCAAGAUCAUGUCAAGGUAUGUGCUCAUUUGAAAGUACUAUUAAGCGUUUUGAUCUAUCCUUAUAGAUCUUGAUGCUCAAUGUUCAAGUAGCUUAAUCCAGGUUUUCCAUUGAAAACACUUUCCAAAUAACCCUAUAUGCUUUCCAGAAAUUCUACGUCAUUUCUGAUCAUUAAUAUGUCAACAACAUAUAAUCAUCAGAAAUUCUAUAGUGCUCCCACUCACUUCUUUGGAAAUACAAGUUUCUCAUAAACUUUGUAUACACCCAAAAUCUUUGAUCAUCAUCAAAGCAUACAUUCCAACUCCGAGAUGCUCACUCCAGUCCUCAGAAGGAUUGCUGGAGCUUUGCAUACUUAUUAGCAUAUUUCAGGAUAGACAAAACCUUCCAGUUGUAUCACAUACAACCUUUCCUCAAGAAUCGUCGACGAAACAAUGUUUUGACAUCCUAUCUGCAAGAUUUCAUAAAUAAUGCAGUAAUUGUUAAUAUAAUUCCAACAGACUCUUAGCAUCGCUACGAGUGAGAAAGUCUCAUUGUAGUCAACUCCUUGAACUUGUCAAAAAACAUCUUAACGACAAGUCGAGCUUUCUCAAUGGUGACACUUACCAUCAUUGUCUGUCUUCCUUUCAAAAUCCAUAUGUACCUAACAGCCUUACGACCAUCAAGUAGUUCUUCCAAAGUCUACACUUUGUUUUCAUACAUGGAUCCUCUCUCGGGUUUUAUGGCCAUGAGCCAUUUAUCGGAAUCCGGGCCCACCAUUGCUUCUCCAUAGCUCGUAGGUUCAUUGUUGUCUAGCAACAUGACUUCCAAGACAGGAUUACUGUACCACUCUGAAGUAGUACGUAUCCUUGUCACCCUACGAGGUUUGGGAGUGACUUGAUCUGAAGUUUCAUGAUCACUAUCAUAAGCUUCUACUUCAAUUGGUGUAGGUGCCACAGGAACAACUUCCUGUGCCCUGCUACACACUGGUUGAAGUGAUGGUUCAAUAACCUCAUCAAGUCUCCACCAUCCUCCCACUCAAUUCUUUCGAGAGAAACCUUUCCUCGAGAAAGGACCCAAUUCUAGAAACAAUUCAUAUUGCUUUCGGAUCUGAAUUAGGAAGUAUACCCAACUGUUUUGGGUGUCCUAUGAAGAUGUACUUUAUCCGCUUUGGUUUCGAGCUUAAUCCUGAAACUUUUUCACAUAAGUGUCGCAGCCCCAAACCUUUAAGAAACGACAACUUAGGUUUCUCUAAACCAUAAUUCAUACGGUGUCAUCUCAUCGGAAUUACGUGGUGCCCUAUUUAAAGUGAAUGUGGUUGUCUUUAAUGCCUAACCCAUAAACUAUCGUGGCAGUUCGAUAAGAGACAUCAUGGUAUGCAUCAUAUCCAAUAGGGUGCAACUAUGAUGUUCGGACACACCAUCACACUAUGGUGUUCCAGGCGGUAUUAAUUGUGAAACAAUUUCCACAAUGUCUUAAUUGUGUGCCAAAACUCGUAACUCAGAUACUCAUCUCUAUGAUCAUAUCAUAGACAUUUUAUCCUCUUGUCACAAUGAUCUUCUACUUCACUCUGAAAUUACUUGAACCAUUCAACAAUUCAGACUUGUGUUUCAUCAAGUAAAUAUUCUCAACAUCUACUCGAAUCAUCUGUGAAGUAAGAACAUAACGAUAUUCACUGCAUGCCUCAGCACUCAUUGGACUGCACACAUCAAAAUGUGUUACUUCCAACAAGUUGCUAUCUUGUUCCAUCUUACUGAAAACGAGGCUUUUCAGUCAUCUUGCCCAUGUGGUAUGAUUUGCAUGUCCCAAGUGAUUCAAAAAUCAAGUGAGUCAAAACGGUCCAUUUGCAUGGAGUUUCUUCAUGCAUAUACACCAAUAGACAUGGUUCGCAUGUCUCAAACUUUUCAAAAACGAGUGAGCCCAAAGAUCCAUCAAUAUGGAGCUUCUUCAUGCGUUUUAUACCGAUAUGACUUACGUGGUAGUGCCACAAGUAGGUGGUACUAUCAUUACUAUCUUUUGGCAUGAACAUGUGUAUCACUACGAUCGAGAUUUAAUAAACCAUUCAUUUUAGGUGUAAGACCAUUGAAGGUAUUAUUCAAAUAAACAGAGUAACCAUUAUUCUCCUUAAAUGAAUAACCGUAUUGCGAUAGACGUAAUCCAAUCAUGUCUAUGCUCAACGCAAACACCAAAUAACAAUUAUUUAGGUUUAACACCAAUCUCUUUGGUAGAGGGAGCGUGCGAUGCUUGAUCAUAUCAAGCAUGGAAAAACUUACAACACAUAUCGUCAGCUCACCUUUAGCUAGUCUCUGUUUAUUCCGUAGCCUUUUGUUUCGAGUUACUAACACUUAGCAACCGAACUGGUAUCUAAUACCCUGGUGCUACUAGGAGUACUAGCAAAGUACACAUUAACACAAUGUAUAUCCAAUAUACUUCUAUCGACCUUGCCAGCCUUCUUAUCUACCAAGUAUCUAGGGUAAUUCUGCUCUAGUAGUUGUUCCCCUUAUUACAGAAGCACUUAGUCUCGGGUUUGGGUUUUACCUUGGGUUUCUUCACUAGAGCAGCAGCUGAUUUGCCGUUUCAUGAAGUAUCCCUUCUUGCCCUUGCCCUUCUUGAAACUAGUGGUUCCACCAACCAUCAACAAUUGAUGCUCCUUCUUGAUUUCUACUUUCGCGGUGUCAAACAUCGCGAAUACCUCAAGGAUCAUCAUAUCUAUCCCUGAUAUGUUAUAGUUCAUCAUGAAGCUCUAACAGCUUGGUGGCAAUGACUUUGGAGAACCAUCACUAUCUCAUCUGGAAGAUCAACUCCCACUCGAUUCAAGCGAUUGUUGUACUCAGACAAUCUGAGCACAAGCUCAACGAUUGAGCUUUUCUCCCUUAGUUUGCAGGUUAAGAAAGUCAUCGGAGGUCUUAUACCUCUUGACAUGGGCACGAGCCUGAAAUCCCAAUUUCAGCCCUCAAAACAUCUCAUAUGUUUCGCGAUGUUUCAAAAACGUCUUUGGUGCCUCAACUCUAAACCGUUUAACUGAACUAUCACGUAGUUAUCAAAACGUGUAUGUCAGAUGUUCGCAACAACCACAGACAACGUUCGAGGUUCAGCACACUGAGCGGUGCAUUAAGGACAUAAGCCUUCUAUGAAGCAAUGAGGACAAUCCUCAGUUUACGGACCUAGUCCGCAUAAUUGCUACUAUCAACUUUCAACUAAUUUUUCUCUAGGAACAUAUCUAAACAGUAGAACUAUAGCGUGAGCUACGACAUAAUUUGCAAAAACCUUUUGACUAUGUUCAGGAUAAUUAAGUUCAUCUUAUGAACUCCCACUCAGAUAGACAUCCCUCUAGUCAUCUAAGUGAUUACAUGAUCCGAGUCAAACUAGGCCGUGUCCGAUCAUCACGUGAGACGGACUAGUCAUCAUCGGUGAACAUCUUCAUGUUGAUCGUAUCUUCUAUACGACUCAUGUUCGACCUUUCGGUCUUCGUGUUCCGAGGCCAUGUAUGUACAUGCUAGGCUCGUCAAGUUAACCCUAAGUGUUUCGCGUGUGUAAAUCUGUCUUACACCCGUUGUAUGUGAACGUUAGAAUCUAACACCCGAUCAUCACGUGGUGCUUCGAAACACGAACUGUCGCAACGGUGCACAGUUAGGGGAGAACACUUCUUGAAAUUGUUGUAAGGGAUCAUCUUAUUUACUACCGUCGUUCUAAGCAAAUAAGAUGUAUAAACAUGAUAAACAUCACAUGCAAUCAAAUAGUGACAUGAUAUGGCCAUCAUCACUUUGCUCCUUUUGAUCUCCAUCUUCGGGGCUCCAUGAUCAUCAUCGUCACCGGCAUGACACCAUGAUCUCCAUCAUCAUGAUCUCCAUCAUCGUGUCUUCAUGAAGUUGCCUCGCCAACUAUUACUUCUACUACUAUGGCUAACGGUUAGCAAUAAAGUAAAGUAAUUACAUGACGUUUAAGUUGACACGCAGGUCACAAAUGAAUAAAGACAACUCCUAUGGCUCCUGCCGGUUGUCAUACUCAUCGACAUGCAAGUCGUGAUUCCUAUUACAAGAACAUGAUCAAUCUCAUACAUCACAUAUAUCAUUCAUCACAUCCUUUUUGGCCAUAUCACAUCACAUAGCAUACCCUGCAAAAACAAGUUAGACGUCCUCUAAUUGUUGUUUGCAUGUUUUACGUGGCUGCUAUGGGUUUCUAGCAAGAACGUUUCUUACCUACGCAUGAACAACAACGUGAUAUGCCAAUUGCUAUUUACCCUUCAUAAGGACCCUUUUCAUCGAAUCCGAUCCGACUAAAGUGGGAGAGACAGACACCCGCCAGCCACCUUAUGCAACUAGUGCAUGUUUGUCGGUGGAACCGGUCUCACGUAAGCGUACGUGUAAGGUUGGUCCGGGCCGCUUCAUCCCACGAUGCCGCCGAAUCAAGAUAAGACUAGUAACGGCAAGCAUAUUGAACAAUAUCAACGCCCACAACUACUUUGUGUUCUACUCGUGCAAAGAAUCUACGCAAUAGACCUAGCUCAUGAUGCCACUGUUGGGGAACGUAGCAGAAAUUCAAAAUUUUCCUACGUGUCACCAAGAUCUAUCUAUGGAGAUACUAGCAACGAGGGAAGGAGAGUGCAUCUACAUACCCUUGUAGAUCGCUAAGCGGAAGCGUUCAAGUGAACGGGGUUGAUGGAGUCGUACUCGUCGUGAUUCAGAUCACCGAUGAUCCUAGUGCCGAACGGACGGCACCUCCGCGUUCAACACACGUACAGCUCGACGAUGUCUCCCACGCCUUGAUCCAGCAAGGAGAGAGGGAGAGGUUGAGGAAGACUCCAUCCAGCAGCAGCACAACGGCGUGGUGGUGAUGGAGGAGCGUGGCAAUCCUGCAGGGCUUCGCCAAGCACCUACGGGAGAGGAGGAGGUGUCACGGGAGGGAGGGAGGCGCCAAGGGCUCAGGUAUAGAUGCCCUCCCUCCCCUCCACUAUAUAUAGGGGCAAGGGAGAGGGGGAGGCGCAUCCUUGCCCCUUCCUCCAAGGAAGGGGUGCGGCUAAGAGGGGGGGAGGAGUCCAUCCUCCCCAAGGCACCUCGGAGGUGCCUUCCCCCUUUAGGACUCUCCCCUUUUUCCUAUAUCUUGGCGCAUGGGCCUCUAGGGGCUGGUGCCCUUGGCCCAUGUAGGCCAAGGCGCACCCCCCUACAGCCCAUGUGGCCCCCCGGGGCAGGUGGCCCCACCCGGUGGGCCCCCGGGACCCUUCCGGUGGUCCCGGUACAAUACCGAUGACCCCGAAACUUGUCCCGAUGGCCGAAACAGGACUUCCUAUAUAUAAAUCUUUACCUCCGGACCAUUCCGGAACUCCUCGUGACGUCCGGGAUCUCAUCCGGGACUCCGAACAACAUUCGGUAACCACAUACAAACUUCCUUUAUAACCCUAGCGUCAUCGAACCUUAAGUGUGUAGACCCUACGGGUUCGGGAGACAUGUAGUCAUGACCGAGAUGUUCUCCGGUCAAUAACCAACAGCGGGAUCUGGAUACCCAUGUUGGCUCGCACAUGUUCCACGAUGAUCUCAUCGGAUGAACCACGAUGUCAAGGACUCAAUCAAUCCCGUAUACAAUUCCCUUUGUCUAGCGGUAUGGUACUUGCCCGAGAUUCGAUCGUCGGUAUACCGAUACCUUGUUCAAUCUCGUUACCGGCAAGCCUCUUUACUCGUUCCGUAACACAUCAUCCCGUGAUCAACCCCUUGGUCACAUUGUGCACAUUAUGAUGAUGUCCUACCGAGUGGGCCCAGAGAUACCUCUCCGUUUACACGGAGUGACAAAAUCCCAAUCUCGAUUCGUGCCAACCCAACAGACACUUUCAGAGAUACCCGUAGUGUACCUUUAUAGCCACCCAGUUACGUUGUGACGUUUGGCACACCCAAAGCACUCCUACGGUAUCCGGGAGUUGCACAAUCUCAUGGUCUAAGGAAAUGAUACUUGACAUUAGAAAAGCUUUAGCAUACGAACUACAUGAUCUUGUGCUAGGCUUAGNNNNNNNNNNUGAUCAACCCCUUGGUCACAUUGUGCACAUUAUGAUGAUGUCCUACCGAGUGGGCCCAGAGAUACCUCUCCGUUUACACGGAGUGACAAAAUCCCAAUCUCGAUUCGUGCCAACCCAACAGACAUUUUCAGAGAUACCCGUAGUGUACCUUUAUAGCCACCCAGUUACGUUGUGACGUUUGGCACACCCAAAGCACUCCUACGGUAUCCGGGAGUUGCACAAUCUCAUGGUCUAAGGAAAUGAUACUUGACAUUAGAAAAGCUUUAGCAUACGAACUACAUGAUCUUGUGCUAGGCUUAGGAUUGGGUCUUGUCCAUCACAUCAUUCUCCUAAUGAUGUGAUCCCGUUAUCAACGACAUCCAAUGUCCAUGGUCAGGAAACCGUAACCAUCUAUUGAUUAACGAGCUAGUCAACUAGAGGCUUACUAGGGACAUGGUGUUGUCUAUGUAUCCACACAUGUAUCUGAGUUUCCUAUCAAUACAAUUCUAGCAUGGAUAAUAAACGAUUAUCAUGAACAAGGAAAUAUAAUAAUAAUCAAUUUAUUAUUGCCUCUAGGGCAUAUUUCCAACAAGAAACGGGGAACAAACUGAUGAAAGAAUGAUCAUACCGAGGGAAUUCACUCAGAACUAACAAGAAUGAUAACGUGCUUUGACUGGAGCGGUUUAAAAACUGCUGGAAGGCUCUAGGGGAAUAAAGAUGGAAUGCCUUCAAAUUUCUAGGUCCGUAUGAUUUGAAAUACUUGCACACAAACCGCGCGAAAGCGUUCCUGGAAAUCUCAGCCCAAAAAAGGACGUUUAGUAAUUCUAAAAGGGACUACAGAAUGAAAAACAAUAGUUUUGGCAGUUAAAGUUUGAGAUUCGAUGGUGCCGUAGAUCCGUUUGGUCAUCAGGUGUAACGAGCCACACCCAUGUCUAGCUAGAGUAGUGUGCUAGGCUCAGGCUAGAGAAGAAACGGGGAACAAACUGAUGAAAGAAUGAUCAUACCGAGGGAAUUCACUCAGAACUAACAAGAAUGAUAACGUGCUCCGACUGGAGCGGUUUAGGAACUGCUGGAAGGCUCUAGGGGAAGAAAGAAGGAAUGACUUCUAAUUUUUAGGUCCGUAUGAUUUGAAAUACGUGCACACAAACCGCGCGAAAGCGUUCCUGGAAAUCUCAGCCCAAAAAAGGACGUUUAGUAUUCUAAAAGGGACUACAGAAUGAAAAACAAUAGUUUUGGCAGUUAAAGUUUGAGAUUCGACGGUGCCGUAGAUCCGUUUGGUCAUCAGGUGUUACGAGCCACACCCAUGUCUAGCUAGAAUAGUGUGCNNNNNNNNNNNNNNNNNNNNNNNNNCGUAUGAUUUGAAAUACGUGCACACAAACCGCGCGAAAGCGUUCCUGGAAAUCUCAGCCCAAAAAAGGACGUUUAGUAUUCUAAAAGGGACUACAGAAUGAAAAACAAUAGUUUUGGCAGUUAAAGUUUGAGAUUCGACGGUGCUGUAGAUCCGUUUGGUCAUCAGGUGUUACGAGCCACACCCAUGUCUAGCUAGAAUAGUGUGCUAGGCUCAGGCUAGAGAAGAAAAGGGGAACAAACUAAUGAAAGAAUGAUCAAUACGAGGGAAUUCACUCAGAACUAACAAUAAUGAUAACGUGCUCCGACUGGAGCGGUUUAGGAACUGCUGGAAGGCUCUAGGCGAAUAAAGAUGGAAUGACUUCUAAUUUUUACGUCCGUAUGAUUUGAAAUACUUGCACACAAACCACGCAAAAGCGUUCCUGGAAAUCUCGGCCUAAAAAGGACGUUUAGUAAUUCUAAAAGGGACUACAGGAUGAAAAAUAAUAGUUUGGGCAGUUAAAAUUUGAGAUUCGACGGUGCCGUAGAUCCGUUUGGUCAUCAGGUGUUACGAGCCACACCCAUGUCUAGCUAGAAUAGUGUGUUAGGCUCAGGCUAGAGAAGAAACGAGGAACAAACUGAUGAAAGAAUGAUCAUACCAAGGGAAUUCACUCAGAACUAACAAGAAUGAUAACGUGCUCCGACUGGAGCAGUUUAGAAACUGCUGGAAGGCUCUAGGGGAAUAAAGAUGGAAUGACUUCUGAUUUUUAGGUCCGUAUGAUUUGAAAUACGUGCACACAAACCCCGCGAAAGCGUUCCUGGAAAUCUCAGCCCAAAAAAGGACGUUUAGUAAUUCUAAAAGGGACUACAACAUGAAAAACAAUAGUUUUGGCAGUUAAAGUUUGAGAUUUCAUGGUGCCGUAGAUCUGUUUGGUCAUCAGGUGUUACGAGCCACACCCAUGUCUAGCUAGAAUAGUGUGUUAGGCUCAGGCUAGAAAAGAAACGGGAAACAAAGUGAUGAAAGAAUGACCAUACCGAGGGAAUUCACUCAGAACUAACAAGAAUGAUAACAUGCUCCGACUUGAGCGGUUUAGGAACUGCUGGAAGGCUCUAGGGGAAUAAAGAUGGAAUGACUUCUAAUGUUUAGGUCCGUAUGAUUUGAAAUACUUGCACAUAAACCGCACAAAAGCGUUCCUGGAAAUCUCAGCCCAAAAAAGGACGUUUAGUAAUUCUAAAAGGGACUACAGGAUGAAAAACAAUAGUUUUGGCAGUUAAAGUUUGAGAUUCGACGGUGCCGUAGAUCCGUUUGGUCAUCAGGUGUUACGAGCCACACCCAUGUCUAGCUAGAAUAGUGUGUUAGGCUCAGGCUAGAGAAGAAACUUGGAACAAACUGAUGAAAGAAUGAUCAAACCAACGGAAUUCACUCAGAACUAACAAUAAUGAUAACGUGCUCCGACUGGAGCAGUUUAGGAACUGCUGGAAGGCUCUAGGGGAAUAAAGAUGGAAUGACUUCUAAUUUUUAGGUCCGUAUGAUUUGAAAUACUUGCACGCAAACCGCGCGAAAGCGUUCCUGGAAAUAUCAGCCCAAAAAAGGACGUUUAGUAAUUCUAAAAGGGACUACAGGAUGAAAACAAUAGUUUUGGCAGUUAAAGUUUGAGAUUCAACAGUGCCGUAGAUCCGUUUGGUCAUCAGGUGUUAUGAGCCAUACCCAUGUCUAGCUAGAGUAGUGUGCUAGGCUCAGGCUAGAGAAGAAACAGGGAACAAACUGAUGAAAGAAUGAUCAUACCGAGGGAAUUCACUCAGAACUAACAAGAAUGAUAACGUGCUCCGACUGGAGCGGUUUAGGAACUGCUGGAAGGCUCUAGGGGAAUAAAGAUGGAGUGACUUCUAAAUUUUUAGGUCCGUAUGAUUUAAAAUACUUGCACACAAACCGCACGAAAGCGUUCCUUGAAAUCUCAGCCCAAAAAAGGACGUUUAGUAAGUCUAAAAGGGACUAUAGGAUGAAAAACAAUAGUUUUGGCAGUUAAAGUUUGAGAUUCGAUGGUGCCGUAGAUCUGUUUGGUCAUCAGGUGUUACGAGCCACACCCAUGUCUAGUUGGAAUAGUGUGCUAGGCUCAGACUAGAGAAGAAACAGGGAACAAACUGAUGAAAGAAUGAUCAAACCGAGGAAAUUCACUCAGAACUAACAAUAAUGAUAACAUGCUCCGACUGGAGCGGUUUAGGAACUGCUGGAAGGCUCUAGGGGAAUAAAGAUGGAAUGACUUCUAAAUUUUUAGGUCCGUAUGAUUUGAAAUAGUUGCACACAAACUGCGCGAAAGCGUUCCUGGAAAUCUCAGCCCAAAAAAGGACGUUUAGUAAUUCUAAAAGGGACUAUAGGAUGAAAAACAAUAGUUUUGGCAGUUAAAGUUUGAGAUUCGACGGUGCCGUAGAUCCGUUUGGUCAUCACGUGUUACAAGCCACACCCAUGUCUAGCUAGAGUAGUGUGCUAGGCUCAGACUAUAGAAGAAACGGGGACCAAACUGAUGAAAGAAUGAUCAAACCGAGGAAAUUCACUCAGAACUAACAAUAAUGAUAACAUGCUCCGACUGGAGCGGUUUAGGAACUACUGGAAGGCUCUAGGGGAAUAAAGAUGGAAUGACUUCUAAAUUUUUAGGUCCGUAUGAUUUUAAAUAGUUGCACACAAACUGCGCGAAAGCGUUCCUGGAAAUCUCAGCCCAAAAAAGGACGUUUAGUAAUUCUAAAAGGGACUACAGGAUGAAAAACAAUAGUUUGGGCAGUUAAAAUUUGAGAUUCGACGGUGCCGUAGAUCCGUUUGGUCAUCAGGUGUUACGAGCCACACCCAUGUCUAGCUAGAGUAGUGUGCUAGGCUCAGGCUAGAGAAGAAACAGGGAACAAACUGAUGAAAGAAUGAUCAUACCGAGGGAAUUCACUCAGAACUAACAAGAAUGAUAACGUGCUCUGACUGGAGCGGUUUAAGAACUGUUGGAAGGCUCUAGGGGAAUAAAGAUGGAAUCACUUCAAAUUUUUACGUCCGUGUGAUUUGAAAUACUUGCACACAAACCGCACGAAAGCGUUCCUGGAAAUCUCAGCCCAAAAAAGGACGUUUAGUAAGUCUAAAAGGGACUACACGAUGAAAAACAAUAGUUUUGGCAGUUAAAGUUUGAGAUUCGACAGUGCCGUAGAUCCGUUUGGUCAUCAGGUGUAACGAGCCACACCCAUGUCUAGAUAGAGUAGUGUGCUAGGCUCAAACUAGAGAAGAAACGGGGAACAAACUGAUGAAAGAAUGAUCAUACCGAGGGAAUUCACUCAGAAAUAACAAGAAUGAUAACGUGCUCUGACUGGAGCGGUUUAGGAACUGCUGGAAGGCUCUAGGGGAAUAAAGAAGGAAUGACUUCUAAUUUUUAGGUCCGUAUGAUUUGAAAUACGUGCACACAAACCCCGAGAAAGCGUUCCUGGAAAUCUCGACCCAAAAAAGGACGUUUAGUAAUUCUAAAAGGGACUACGGGAUGAAAAACAAUAGUUUUGGCAGUUAAAGUUUGAGAUUCGAUAAUGCCGUAGAUCCAUUUGGUCAUCAGGUGUAACGAGCCACACCCAUGUCUAGCUAGAGUAGUGUGCUAGGCUCAGACUAGAGAAGAAACAGGGAACAAACUGAUGAAAGAAUGAUCAUAUCGAGGGAAUUCACUCAGAACUAACAAGAAUGAUAACAUGCUCCGACUUGAGCGGUUUAGGAACUGCUGGAAGGCUCUAGGGGAAUAAAGAUGGAAUGACUUCUAAUUUUUAGGUCCGUAUGAUUUGAAAUACUUACACACAAACCACGCGAAAGCGUUCCUGGAAAUCUCAGCCCAAAAAAGGACGUUUAGUAAUUCUAAAAGGGACUACAUGAUGAAAAACAAUAGUUUUCGCAGUUAAAGUUUGAGAUUCGACGGUGCCGUAGAUCCGUUUGGUCAUCAAGUGUUACGAGCCACACCCAUGUCUAGCUAGAAUAGUGUGUUAGGCUCAGCCUAGAGAAGAAACGGGGAACAAACUGAUGAAAGAAUGAUCAUACCGAGGGAAUUCACUCAGAACUUACAAGAAUGAUAACGUGCUCCGACUUGAGCGGUUUAAGAACUGUUGGAAGGCUCUAGGGGAAUAAAGAUGGAAUCACUUCAAAUUUUUACGUCCGUGUGAUUUGAAAUACUUGCACACAAACCCCGAGAAAGCGUUCCUGGAAAUCUCGGCCGAAAAAAGGAUGUUUAAUAAUUCUAAAAGGGACUACAGGAUGAAAAACAAUAGCUUUGGCAGUUAAAGUUUGUGAUUCGAUGGUGCCGUAGAUCUGUUUGGUCAUCAGGUGUUAUGAGCCACACCCAUGUCUAGCUAGAAUAGUGUGUUAGGCUCAGGCUAGAGCAGAAACUAGGAACAAACUUAUGAAAGAAUGAUCAUACCGAGGGAAUUCACUCAGAACUAACAAGAAUGAUAACGUGCUCCGACUGGAGCGGUUUAGGAACUGCUGGAAGGCUCUAGGGGAAUAAAGAUGGAAUGACUUCUAAUUUUUAGGUCCGUAUGAUUUGAAAUACAUGCACACAAACCCCAAGAAAGCGUUCCUAGAAAUCUCAGCCCAAAAAGGACGUUUAGUAAUUCUAAAAGGGACUACAGGAUGAAAAACAAUAGGUUUGGCAGUUAAAGUUUGAGAUUCGAUAAUGCCGUAGAUCCGUUUGGUCAUCAGGUGUAACGAGCCACACCCAUGUCUAGCUACAUUAGUGUGCUAGGCUCAGACUAGAGAAGAAACGGGGAACAAACUGAUGAAAGAAUGAUCAUACCGAGGGAAUUCACUCAGAACUAACAAGAACGAUAACAUGCUCCGACUGCAGCGGUUUAGGAACUGCUGGAAGGCUCUAGGGGAAUAAAGAAGGAAUGACUUCUAAUUUUUAGGUCCGUAUGAUUUGAAAUACUUGCACACAAACCGCGCGAAAGCAUUCCUGGAAAUCUCAGCCCAAAAAAGGACGUUUAGUAAUUCUAAAAGGGACUACAGGAUGAAAAACAAUAAUUUUGGCAGUUAAAGUUUGAGAUUCGACGGUGCCGUAGAUCCGUUUGGUCAUCAGGUGUUACGGGCCAUACCCAUGUCUAGCUAGAAUAGUGUGUUAGGCUCAGGUUAGAGAAGAAACGGGGAACAAAGUGAUGAAAGAAUGAUCAUACCGAGGGAAUUCACUCAGAACUAACAAGAAUGAUAACGUGCUCCGACUGGAGCGGUUUAGGAAUUGCUGGAAGGCUCUAGGGGAAUAAAGAUGGAAUGACUUCUAUAUUUUACGUCCGUAUGAUUUGAAAUACUUGCACACAAACCACGCAAAAGCACUCCUGGAAAUAUCAGCCUAAAAAGGAUGUUUAGUAAUUCUAAAAGGGACUACAGGAUGAAAAAUAAUAGUUUUGGCAGUUAAAAUUUGAGAUUCAACGGUGCCGUAAAUCCGUUUGGUCAUCAGGUGUUACGAGCCACACCCAUGUCUAGCUAGAAUAGUGUGUUAGGCUCAGGUUAGAGAAGAAACGGGGAACAAACUGAUGAAAGAAUGAUCAUACAAGGGGAAUUCACUCAGAACUAUCAAGAAUGAUAACGUGCUCCGACUGGAGCAGUUUAGGAACUGCCGGAAGGCUCUAGGGGAAUAAAGAUGGAAUGACUUCUAAUUUUUAUGUCCGUAUGAUUUGAAAUACUUGCACACAAACCACGCAAAAGCGUUCCUGGAAAUCUCAGCCUAAAAAGGACGUUUAGUAAUUCUAAAAGGGACUACAGGAUGAAAAACAAUAGUUUGGGCAGUUAAAAUUCGAGAUUCGACGGUGCCGUAGAUCCGUUUGGUCAUCAGGUGUUACGAGCCACACCCAUGUCUAGCUAGAAUAGUGUGUUAGGCUCAGGCUAGAGAAGAAACGGGGAACAAACUGAUGAAAGAAUGAUCAUAUCGAGGGAAUUCACUCAGAACUAACAAGAAUGAUAACGUGCUCCGACUGGAGCGGUUUAGUAACUGCUGGAAGGCUCUAGGGGAAUAAAGAUGGAAUGACUUCUAAUUAUUAGGUCCGUAAGAUUUGAAUUACAUGCACACAAACCCCGAGAAAGCGUUCCUGGAAAUCUCGGUCGAAAAAAGGAUGUUUAGUAAUUCUAAAAGGGACUACAGGAUGAAAAACAAUAGUUUUGGCAGUUAAAGUUUGUGAUUCGAUGGUGCCGUAGAUCUGUUUGGUCAUCAGGUGUUACGAGCCACACCCAUGUCUAGCUAGAAUAGUGUGUUAGGCUCAGGCUAGAGCAGAAACGGGGAACAAACUUAUGAAAGAAUGAUCAUGCCGAGGGAAUUCACUCAGAACUAACAAGAAUGAUAACGUGCUCCGACUGGAGCGGUUUAGGAACUGCUGGAAGGCUCUAGGGGAAUAAAGAUGGAAUGACAUCAAAUUUUUAGGUCCGUAUGAUUUGAAAUACUUGCACACAAACCGCAAGAAAGCGUUCUUGGAAAUCUCCGCCCAAAAAAGGACGUUUAGUAAUUCUAAAAGGGUCUACAGGAUGAAAAACAAUAGUUCUGGCAGUUAAAGUUUGAGAUUCGAUAAUGUCGUAGAUCCGUUUGGUCAUCAGGCGUAACGAGCCACACCCAUUUCUAGCUAGAGUAGUGUGCUAGGCUCAGACUAGAGAAGAAACGGGGAACAACCUGAUGAAAGAAUGAUCAUACCGAGGGAAUUCACUCAGAACUAACAAGAAUGAUAACGUGCUCCGACUGGAGCGGUUUAGGAACUGCUGGAAGGCUCUACGGGAAUAAAGAAGGAAUGACUUCUAAUUUUUAGGUCCGUAUGAUUUGAAAUACGUGCACACAAACCCCGAGAAAGCGUUCCUGGAAAUCUCGGCCCAAAAAAGGACGUUUAGUAUUCUAAAAGCGACUACAGAAUGAAAAACAAUAGUUUUGGUAGUUAAAGUUUGAGAUUUAACGGUGCCGUAGAUCUGUUUGGUCAUCAGGUGUUACGAGCCACACCCAUGUCUAGCUAGAAUAGUGUGUUAGGCUCAGGCUAGAUAAGAAACAGGGAACAAAGUGAUGAAAGAAUGAUCAUACCAAGGGAAUUCACUCAGAACUAACAAGAACGAUAACAUGCUCCGACUGGAGUGGUUUAGGAACUGCUGGAAGGCUCUAGGGGAAUAAAGAUGGAAUGACUUCUAAUUUUUAGGUCUGUAUGAUUUGAAAUACUUGCACACAAACCGCACGAAAGCGUUCCUGGAAAUCUCAUCCCAAAAAAGGACGUUUAGUAAUUCUAAAAGGGACUACAGGAUGAAAAACAAUAGUUUUGGCAGUUAAAGUUUGAGAUUCGAUAAUGCUGUAGAUCCGUUUGGUCAUCAGGUGUAACGAGCCACACCCAUGUCUAGCUAGAGUAGUGUGCUAGGCUCAGACUAGAGAAGAAACGGGGAACAAACUGAUGAAAGAAUGAUCAUACCGAGGGAAUUCACUCAGAACUAACAAUAAUGAUAACGUGCUCCGACUGGAGCGGUUUAGGAACUGCUGGAAGGCUCUAGGGGAAUAAAGAUGGAAUGAGUUCUAAUUUUUAGGUCUGUAUGAUUUGAAAUACUUGCACACAAACCGCGUGAAAGCAUUCCUGGAAAUUUCAGCCCAAAAAAGGACGUUUAGUAAUUUUAAAAGGGACUACACGAUGAAAAACAAUAGUUUUGGCAGUUAAAGUUUGAGAUUCGACGGUGCCGUAGAUCCGUUUGGUCAUCAGGUGUUACGAGCCACACCCAUGUCUAGCUAGAAUAGUAUGUUAGGCUCGGGUAAGAGAAGAAACGGGGAACAAACUGAUGAAAGAAUGAUCAUACCAAGGGAAUUCACUCAGAACUAACAAGAAUGAUAACGUGCUCCGACUGGAGCGGUUUAGGAACUGCUGGAAGGCUCUAGGGGAAUAAAGAUGGAAUGACUUCUAAUUUUUACGUUCGUAUGAUUUGAAAUACUUGCACACAAACCACGCAAAAGCGUUCCUGGAAAUCUCAUCCUAAAAAAGGACGUUUAGUAAUUCUAAAAGGGACUACAGGAUGAAAAAUAAUAGUUUGGGCAGUUAAAAUUUGAGAUUCGACGGUGCCGUAGAUCCGUUUGGUCAUCAGGUGUUACGAGCCACACCCAUGUCUAGCUAGAAUAGUGUGUUAGGCUCAGGCUAGAGAAGAAACGGGGAACAAACUGAUGAAAGAAUGAUCAUAUCGAGGGAAUUCACUCAGAACUAACAAGAAUGAUAACGUGCUCCGACUGGAGCAGUUUAGAAACUGCUGGAAGGCUCUAGGGGAAUAAAGAUGGAAUGACUUCUAAUUUUUAGGUCUGUAUGAUUUGAAAUACGUGCACACGAACCCCGAGAAAGCGUUCCUGGAAAUCUCGGCCCAAAAAAGGACGUUUAGUAAUUCUAAAAGGGACUACAGGAUGAAAAACAAUAGUUUUGGCAGUUAAAGUUUGAGAUUCGACGGUGCCGUAGAUCCGUUUGUUCAUCAGGUGUUACGAGCCACACCCAUGUCUAGCUAGAAUAGUGUGUUAGGCUCAGGCUAGAGAAGAAACGGGGAACAAACUGAUGAAAGAAUGAUCAUACCGAGGGAAUUCACUCAGAACUAACAAGAAUGAUAACGUGCUCCGACUGGAGCGGUUUAGGAACUGCUAGAAGGCUCUAGGGGAAUAAAGAAGGAAUGACUUCUAAUUUUUAGGUCCGUAUGAUUUGAAAUACGUGCACACAAACCCCGAGAAAGCGUUCCUGGAAAUCUUGGCCCAAAAAAGGACGUUUAGUAUUCUAAAAGCGACUACAGAAUGAAAAACAAUAGUUUUGCUAGUUAAAGUUUGAGAUUUGAUGGUGCCGUAGAUCUGUUUGGUCAUCAGGUUUUACGAGCCACACCCAUGUCUAGCUAGAAUAGUGUGUUAGGCUCAGGCUAGAAAAGAAACAGGGAAUAAAGUGAUGAAAGAAUGAUCAUACCAAGGGAAUUCACUCAGAACUAACAAGAACGAUAACAUGCUCCGACUGGAGUGGUUUAGAACUGCUGGAAGGCUAAAGGGGAAUAAAGAUGGAAUGACUUCUAAUUUUUAGGUCCGUAUGAUUUGAAAUACUUGCACACAAACCGCACGAAAGUGUUCCUGGAAAUCUCAGCCCAAAAAAGGACGUUUAGUAAUUCUAAAAGGGACUACAGGAUGAAAAACAAUAGUUUUGGCAGUUAAAGUUUGAGAUUCGAUAAUGACGUAGAUCCGUUUGGUCAUCAGGUGUAACGAGCCACACCCAUGUCUAGCUAGAGUAGUGUGCUAGGCUCAGACUAGAGAAGAAACGGGGAACAAACUGAUGAAAGAAUGAUCAUACCGAGGGAAUUCACUCAGAACUAACAAUAAUGAUAACGUGCUCCGACUAGAGCGGUUUAGGAACUGCUGGAAGGCUCUAGGGGAAUAAAGAUGGAAUGACUUCUAAUUUUUAGGUCCCUAUGAUUUGAAAUACUUGCACACAAACCGCGUGAAAGCAUUCCUGGAAAUUUCAGCCCAAAAAAGGACGUUUAGUAAUUUUAAAAGGGACUACACGAUGAAAAAGAAUAGUUUUGGCAGUUAAAGUUUGAGAUUCGACGGUGCCGUAGAUCCGUUUGGUCAUCAGGUGUUACGAGACACACCCAUGUCUAGCUAGAAUAGUAUGUUAGGCUCGGGUUAGAGAAGAAACGGGGAACAAACUGAUGAAAGAAUGAUCAUACCAAGGGAAUUCACUCAGAACUAACAAGAAUGAUAACGUGCUCCGACUGGAGCGGUUUAGGAACUGCUGGAAGGCUCUAGGGGAAUAAAGAUGGAAUGACUUCUAAUUUUUACGUUCGUAUGAUUUGAAAUACUUGCAAACAAACCACGCAAAAGCGUUCCUGGAAAUUUCAUCCUAAAAAAGGACGUUUAGUAAUUCUAAAAGGGACUACAGGAUGAAAAAUAAUAGUUUGGGCAGUUAAAAUUUGAGAUUCGAUGGUGCCGUAGAUCCGUUUGGUCAUCAGGUGUUACGAGCCACACCCAUGUCUAGCUAGAAUAGUGUGUUAGGCUCAGGCUAGAGAAGAAACGGGGAACAAACUGAUGAAAGAAUGAUCAUAUCGAGGGAAUUCACUCAGAACUAACAAGAAUGAUAACGUGCUCCGACUGGAGCAGUUUAGAAACUGCUGGAAGGCUCUAGGGGAAUAAAGAUGGAAUGACUUCUAAUUUUUAGGUCUGUAUGAUUUGAAAUACGUGCACACAAACCCCGAGAAAGCGUUCCUGGAAAUCUCGUCCGGAAAAAGGAUGUUUAAUAAUUCUAAAAGGGACUACAGGAUGAAAAACAAUAGUUUUGGCAGUUAAAGUUUGUGAUUCGAUGGUGCCGUAGAUCUGUUUGGUCAUCAGGUGUUACGGGCCACACCCAUGUCUAGCUAGAAUAGUGUGUUAGGCUCAGGCUAGAGCAGAAACGGGGAGCAAACUUAUGAAAGAAUGAUCAUAGCGAGGGAAUUUACUCAGAACUAACAAGAAUGAUAACGUGCUCCGACUGGAGCGGUUUAGGAACUGCUGGAAGGCUCUAGGGGAAUAAAGAUGGAAUGACUUCAAAUUUUCAGGUAUGUAUGAUCUGAAAUACUUGCACACAAACCGCGAGAAAGCGUUCCUGGAAAUCUCAACCCAAAAAAGGAUGUUUAGUAAUUCUAAAAGGGACUACAGGAUUAAAAACAAUAGUUUUGGCAGUUAAAGUUUGAGAUUCGAUAAUGUCGUAGAUCCGUUUGGUCAUCAGGUGUAACGAGCCACACCCAUGUCUAGCUAGAGUAGUGUGCUAGGCUCAUACUAGAGAAGAAACGGGGAACAAACUGAUGAAAGAAUGAUCAUACCGAGGGAAUUCACUCAGAACUAACAAGAAUGAUAACGUGCUCCGACUGGAGCGGUUUAGGAACUGCUGGAAGGCUCUAGGGGAAUAAAGAUGGAAUGACUUCUUAUUUUUAGGUCCGUAUGAUUUGAAAUACAUGCACACAAACCCCAAGAAAGCGUUCCGGGAAAUCUCGGCCCAAAGAAUGAUGUUUAGUAAUUCUAAAAGGGACUAUAGAAUGAAAAACAAUAGUUUUGGCAGUUAAAGUUUGAGAUUUGACGGUGUCGUAGAUCUGUUUGGUCAUCAGGUGUUACGAGCCACACCCAUUUCUAGCUAGAAUAGUGUGUUAGGCUCAGGCUAGAAAAGAAACGGGGAACAAAGUGAUGAAAGAAUGAUCAUACCGAGGGAAUUCACUCAGAACUAACAAGAAUGAUAACAUGCUCCGACUAGAGCGGUUUAGGAACUGCUGGAAGGCUCUAGGGGAAUAAAUAUGGAAUGACUUCUAAUUUUCAGGUCCGUAUGAUUUGAAAUACUUGCACACAAACCGCGCGAAAGCGUUCCUGGAAAUCUCAUCCCAAAGAAGGUCGUUUAGUAAUUCUAAAAGGGACUACAGGAUGAAAAACAAUAGUUUUGGCAAUUUAAGGUUUGAGAUUCGACGGUGCCGUAGAUCCGUUUGGUCAUCAGGUGUUACGAGCCACACCCAUGUCUAGCUAGAAUAGUGUGCUAGGCUCAGGCUAGAGAAGAAACAGGGAACAAACUGAUGAAAGAAUGAUCAAACCGAGGGAAUUCACUCAGAACUAACAAUAAUGAUAACGUUCUCCGUCUGGAGCGGUUUAGGAACUGCUGGAAGGCUCUAGGGGAAUAAAGAUGGAAUGACUUCUAAUUUUUAGGUCCGUAUGAUUUGAAAUACUUGCACACAAACCGCGCCAAAUCGUUCCUGGAAAUCUCAGCCCAAAAAAGGACGUUUAGUAAUUCUAAAAGGGACUACAGGAUGAAAAACAAUAGUUUUGGCAGUUAAAGUUUGAGAUUCGAUGGUGCCGUAGACCCGUUUGGUCAUCAGGUGUUACGAGCCACACCCAUGUCUAGCUAGAGUAGUGUGCUAGGUUCAGACUAGAGAAGAAACAGGGAACAAAGUGAUGAAAGAAUGAUCAUACCGAGGGAAUUCACUCAGAACUAACAAGAAUGAUAACGUGCUCCGACUGGAGCGGUUUAGGAACUGCUGGAAGGCUCUAGGGGAAUAAAGAUGGAAUGACUUCUAAUUUUUACGUCCGUAUGAUUUGAAAUACUUGCACACAAACCACGCAAAAGCGUUCCUGGAAAUCUCAGCCUAAAAAAGGACGUUUAGUAAUUCAAAAAGGGACUACAAAAU